rnacentral:rRNA from 1 species
CACGUAGGCACCAAGCGUUGUCCGGAUUUAUUGGGCGUAAAGCGCGCGUAGGCGGCUCGGAAAGUCGGUCGUGAAAUGCCGGGGCUCAACCCCCGGGACUGCGUCCGAUACUCCCGAGCUGGAGGCAGGUAGGGGAGAUCGGAAUUCCUGGUGUAGCGGUGAAAUGCGCAGAUAUCAGGAGGAACACCGGUGGCGAAGGCGGAUCUCUGGGCCUUGCCUGACGCUGAGGCGCGAAAGCUAGGGGAGCGAACAGG